rnacentral:lncRNA from 1 species
AAAAAAAAAAAAAGAAAAAGUGGGCAUUAAAGCUCCGGUUUCGGGAAUGUCCCAAAACAUUCCCGAAACAGAGCAUUCGUCUUCUACCCCCAGAAAACAGAGCGAAAGCUCUGUUAUUUUUUUAAAAAAAAUAAUCUCCUCCUUAACUCAAAUCUCUUCCUCCUCAACUCAAUCAACCCAGAUCCUGUUUUAAACCUAUAUCCUGCGAAAAAAUUCAAUAAUUUCUUCUAGAGACUCCAAAAUUGGGUAGGUGAGUUUUAUCCCUUUUAUUCAAUUUUUAUAAUAUAAUUUAUUUUCUUUACCUUUUAAUAGUGAUUUUUGGUGAUUUGAGAAUAAAAAGGUAUAUAUUUUAGUUAGAUUUAAUUAAUGAGUUUUAAUAUUUAUUUUUGGGAUUAAUGAUUUUUAUAGGUUGAUUUAAAUAAUAUUUACAGCUUAUUGAGUAUUUUUGUUGAGUUGGGUACUUUUGGGAGGACUAACUAUGUUGAAAUACUGCCGAAAUUUUCUUAAAAAUAUAUAUAUAAAUAUAUUUAAAAUUUCAUAUUUUACGUUUUAUAUUAUUGUUCUAGAGCAUUUUUAUUAUUUAAUAUAUUAUUUUAUUUUUUUAUUUUUUUUUUAAAUUCUAGGAAAGGAUCCAGCUUCCAGGAUAGAUAAUAGGGGUCCUCCUGCGAUCUAGGUCUUUUGUCCCAAGUAUUCUGGUGAGUGGAUAAAUAUAUAACAUUGAUAUUUUUUUUAAAAUAUAUUUAUAUGUGAAUAUGUUAUUUUGUUUAUUUAAGUUGGGAAAGGAUAAUGAUAAUUUAUAUUUCUUGAAUAAAUGAAAAUUGAAUUUAAAGCACAGCUGAAUAAAUAGCCGAUUACACUCUGUAUAUGCACCGAACAGAUAACACCUUGAUGACAGGUGAUUUAUUUUCAGCAUGAUAUAUAUAUAUAUACUGUCUUUGGGACGGCGCUUGAUAUACAGAUAGCCUUUGGGGCGUAUGUCAGGUGGUCACCCUUUGGGGGUAGCUCUGCACAUGUGUAUGACCAGUAUUUUAUUUGCUCUUGGGCCAAACUUGUCAUUAUAGAGCCUAAGAUGCCAGCAUUGCUCUCAGGCUGUUAUUAUUUUAUUAUACCUGAGAUGCCAGCAUUAUCUGCAGGGAACAUAUUAUUAGUGUAUGCGGAUUCUAUUUUUCACAGUUUAUUUUAUGUUGAUGAAAUUAAAUUGUAUUUAUUCAGCUGACUUAUUUUAGCUAAAUAUUUGGUACUAUUAAGUACCUAAACUUAUCUUUUCCCCUUUGUUAUUUAUUUAUCCGCUCACUGAGUAGUUGUACUCACCCUUAUAUUUAUUUUAAUAUUACAGUUUCUUUUUGGUGAUCCGCUCAGCAGUCCUCAUUUCCUAGUUUAUCCUCCUUUCCACAUCGUCCACUCAGAGUUUAGAGGAGGUCGGACCAAUCUUAAGUCUUUUGUUAUUUCUUUUUUUGUAAUUUUGUUAGAUCAUGUAUAGAUUGUACAGCCCCAAUGAAGAAGGUUUUGGGUUAUUGUAAAUAUUUUAUGAAUUGACAGGUCCAACUAUCAGUUUUCUCUUAUAUGUUUUAUAUUUUGAAAUUAUAGCAGGUUACAUGUUUUUAUAUGUAUAAAUAUCAGGGGAAGUUCUGUCAGUUUUCCUGGUCAUAUCCAUCUCUAUAGUUUUGGGUUGGGUGUGACAAUUUUUGGUAUCAGAGCUUAGGUUAUAGAUUCUGUAGACUUUCUUCGAGUCAGUAUAGUAAUAGAAGUCGGGGCCGUAGUGUUCGUACAGCUAGAUUAGUUGAUAUUGGUCGACCUCAUAGGGAUCCUACAGUUACACCUCCACCUCUAGAAGGGGUGGCAGAUCAUGUUUUACUUGAGAGCGGAGAAGGGCAUGAAGAUUCUGCUUCUCAUGGUGUUGAAUCAAGAACAUACUCGACCACAGCCUAGUCAGAGCU